rnacentral:rRNA from 1 species
CAGCAGCCGCGGGAAUACGUAGGUGGCAAGCGUUGUCCGGAAUUAUUGGGCGUAAAGGGCUCGCAGGCGGUUUCUUAAGUCUGAUGUGAAAGCCCCCGGCUCAGCCGGGGAGGGUCAUUGGAAACUGGGAAACUUGAGUGCAGAAGAGGAGAGUGGAAUUCCACGUGUAGCGGUGAAAUGCGUAGAGAUGUGGAGGAACACCAGUGGCGAAGGCGACUCUCUGGUCUGUAACUGACGCUGAGGAGCGAAAGCGUGGGGAGCGAACAGGAUUAGAUACCCGUGUAGUCCCUGUCUCUUAUAC